rnacentral:rRNA from 1 species
CAGCCGCCGCGGUAAUACGAAGGGUGUAAGCGUUAAUCGGAAUUACUGGGCGUAAAGCGCGCGUAGGUGGUUUGGUAAGAUGGAUGUGAAAUCCCCGGGCUCAACCUGGGAACUGCAUCCAUAACUGCCUGACUAGAGUACGGUAGAGGGUGGUGGAAUUUCCUGUGUAGCGGUGAAAUGCGUAGAUAUAGGAAGGAACACCAGUGGCGAAGGCGACCACCUGGACUGAUACUGACACUGAGGUGCGAAAGCGUGGGGAGCAAACAGGAUUAGAUACCCCUGUAGUCCCUGUCUCUUAUAC